rnacentral:rRNA from 1 species
AUACAGAGGGUGCAAGCGUUAAUCGGAAUUACUGGGCGUAAAGCGCACGCAGGCGGUUGGUUAAGUCAGAUGUGAAAGCCCCGGGCUCAACCUGGGAAUUGCAUUUGAAACUGGCCAACUAGAGUACGUGAGAGGGGGGUAGAAUUCCAAGUGUAGCGGUGAAAUGCGUAGAGAUUUGGAGGAAUACCAGUGGCGAAGGCGGCCCCCUGGCACGAUACUGACGCUCAGGUGCGAAAGCGUGGGGAGCAAACAGGAUUAGAAACCCUAGUAGUCC